rnacentral:rRNA from 1 species
AUUGAACGCUGGCGGCAUGCCUAACACAUGCAAGUCGAACGGAUGGUUUCGGCCAUCAGUGGCGCACGGGUGAGUAACGCGUGGGAAUCUGCCCAGCAGUGGGGGAUAACCUCUGGAAACGGAGGCUAAUACCGCAUACGCCCCUCGGGGGAAAGGCUUGCUGCUGCUGGAGGAGCCCGCGUCGGAUUAGGUAGUUGGUGGGGUAACGGCCUACCAAGCCUGUGAUCCGUAGCUGGUCUGAGAGGAUGAUCAGCCACACUGGGACUGAGACACGGCCCAGACUCCUACGGGAGGCAGCAGUGGGGAAUAUUGGACAAUGGGGGCAACCCUGAUCCAGCAAUGCCGCGUGAGUGAUGAAGGCCUUCGGGUUGUAAAGCUCUUUCGCCCACGACGAUGAUGACGGUAGUGGGAGAAGAAGCCCCGGCUAACUUCGUG